rnacentral:rRNA from 1 species
ACUCCUACGGGAGGCAGCAGUGGGGAAUCUUGGACAAUGGGCGCAAGCCUGAUCCAGCCAUGCCGCGUGAGCGAUGAAGGCCUUAGGGUCGUAAAACUCUUUCGCCAGGGAUGAUAAUGACAGUACCUGGUAAAGAAACCCCGGCUAACUCCGUGCCAGCAGCCGCGGUAAUACGGAGGGGUUAGCGUUGUUCGGAAUUACUGGGGCGUAAAGCGCGCGUAGGCGGACUAGUUAGUCAGAGGUGAAAUCCCGGGGGCUCAACCCCGGAACUGCCUUUGAUACUGCUAGUCUUGAGUUCGAGAGAGGUGAGUGGAAUUCCGAGUGUAGAGGUGAAAUUCGUAGAUAUUCGGAGGAACACCAGUGGCGAAGGCGGCUCACUGGCUCGAUACUGACGCUGAGGUGCGAAAGUGUGGGGAGCAAACAGGAUUAGAUACCCUGGUAGGAUAGCG